rnacentral:lncRNA from 1 species
GUAACUUGUACAGGCUGGACUAUAAUGACAUUAUUCUUUGCAGUGACAGAAGGAAAGAAAUCACAAAAUAAUGCUGAUGGUGAAUCCCUUCAACUGGAAAUGUGCAAAUUCUGCCUACCUGCAGAAGACUAUGAAAGCAUUGUUGGUAGAGGAGCAGUAAUUGCAAAGCGGAUGCAUUCCUCUGUCUGGCAUUUCAAGUAAGUAGUCCAUACAGGAUUCAGAGAUAAAGAUGGCCGAUAACCAAAGAGACAGCAGUCCUCCACCCAGUUCCACCUAGUCA